rnacentral:rRNA from 1 species
GUGCCAGCAGCUGCGGUAAUACGUAGGUGGCAAGCGUUGUCCGGAUUUAUUGGGCGUAAAGCGAGCGCAGGCGGUUUCUUAAGUCUGAUGUGAAAGCCCCCGGCUCAACCGGGGAGGGUCACUGGAAACUGGGAGACUUGAGUGCAGAAGAGGAGAGUGGAAUUCCAUGUGUAGCGGUGAAAUGCGUAGAUAUAUGGAGGAACACCAGUGGCGAAGGCGGCUCUCUGGUCUGUAACUGACGCUGAGGCUCGAAAGCGUGGGGAGCGAACAGGAUUAGAUACCCUGGUAGUCCACGCCGUAAACGAUGAGUGCUAAGUGUUGGAGGGUUUCCGCCCUUCAGUGCUGCAGCAAACGCAUUAAGCACUCCGCCUGGGGAGUACGACCGCAAGGUUGAAACUCAAAGGAAUUGACGGGGCCCGCACAAGCGGUGGAGCAUGUGGUUUAAUUCGAAGCAACGCGAAGAACCUUACCAGGUCUUGACAUCCUUUGACCACUCUAGAGAUAGAGCUUCCCCGUUCGGGGC